ACUCAUACACCCCCUAAACUUUGGACUAGUGGCCAAGACACCCCCUAAACUUUUUUAUUGAUCAAUUUACUCCCCAAACUAUACACUCCUGCCAAAUUAAUACUUCAGUUAGCUUCCCGUUAAAAAACUCACGGAAUAGCAUGUGAGAAUCACGUGAAAUUUAAAAAUUGACUAAUUUACACAAAAGAAAGAAAAGAGAGAGGAGAGACCUAGUUUUGACCGGUGAAGAUGAGAGAGAAAGAGGCAGUAGAACCAGAGCCACCGUAAAGCGGUUCCAAGUUCUUCAUCCGACGGCUGUCUCGCCGUCCGUAGGCCGUAUCUUCAAGCCCUGGUAUGUGCGAGUUUCUGUCGAGGUUGGGGUUUAUUUACUCUAAGAUCCAAAUAAUCACAAAUCCUUUCAAGCAAUGAAUAGGAUGUCCUGUACAAGUAAUGCAUUAGGUCAGGAAGGAUCAUUUGCAAGUGUUGCAUUAUCAUCUCCUCAAGAGAGGAGAUCAAGUAUUGCAAGCUCCCGCCACAAAAAUUGAUGGUACAAGAGAUCCUCAACUCAAAGUAGUGUUGCAAGUGGAGAGAAUGGGUGGUCCACAACAUCAAGCAAUUUUUUUAGUUUAGAAUCAUGUUUUUGAAACUUUGGCUAAGUGCUCUAAUGAUUGUUCAUAUGCCAAUUAGUUUGGCAAUGAUGUACUAGUGAUUUGUGUGAGAUGUAUUCAUGAGCAGAUUAUGAUCCUCAUUUUGUUAUUAAUAAAAAAAAAUUUCUGCACCUAUGUGCAAUUUAUACAAA